GCGACCGUAGCUCAGUUGGUUAGAGCACCACCUUGACAUGGUGGGGUCGGUGGUUCGAGUCCACUCGGUCGCACCA
rnacentral:tRNA from 1 species